CCUAUUCUCCACGCGUGCGCAGUGGUCACUUUCACAGGCGACAAUGAGGCUCACUUUGAAUCGCGCAGGGACACUAAAAUGGUUUCAACUCAUUUUCGCUGCUGCAAAUGGCCACACAGGGACAUGGUACUUCACCGUGUACAAAUGAAGUAUGGAACUUCAGGCUUUAAGGGCCACAGUGCUCAUACGGCAAACUGAGAAAGCACAAAACACUGCAGUACUUUGGGGGCUGGAACCCUCCCCUCAUGUACUGUACUACAAGUGACCUGUUCCAUCUAGAGGUAUUGAUGAAUUCCUGACAUACAGCAGCUGAUCAGCAGGUUGGGACGGAUUGGUAAGUUGUCCACAGUGAGUACAGGCACUCAUGCCCAUACAGUUAUAUCUCUCACAGGGUCAAUGACAGUUUGGGGAAGUCAUGUCACAAUCACAUUAUAUUCCAUAAUAAAUGCACAGCGAGUUAUCAGCAUAACCAAGUUUUAAAAACAAGAACCACAUCUUCUCUAAAAUCCAAAAAUUAAAUAUAAAAAAAAAAA